UACGUAGGAGGCAAGCGUUGUCCGGAAUUACUGGGCGUAAAGCGCGUGUAGGUGGUGGGACAAGUCUGCUGUGAAAGCGCCUGGCUUAACCGGGCGAGGUCGGCGGAAACUGUCCGACUCGAGGACGGUAGAGGGGGGUGGAAUUCCCGGGUGUAGUGGUGAAAUGCGUAGAGAUCGGGAGGAACAUCCGUGGCGAAGGCGACUACCUGGACCAGCACUGACACUGAGGCACGAAAGCGUGGGG
rnacentral:rRNA from 1 species